rnacentral:rRNA from 1 species
UUAGCGGCGGACGGGUGAGUAACACGUGGGUAACCUGCCCAUAAGACUGGGAUAACUCCGGGAAACCGGGGCUAAUACCGGAUAAUAUUUUGAACUGCAUGGUUCGAAAUUGAAAGGCGGCUUCGGCUGUCACUUAUGGAUGGACCCGCGUCGCAUUAGCUAGUUGGUGAGGUAACGGCUCACCAAGGCAACGAUGCGUAGCCGACCUGAGAGGGUGAUCGGCCACACUGGGACUGAGACACGGCCCAGACUCCUACGGGAGGCAGCAGUAGGGAAUCUUCCGCAAUGGACGAAAGUCUGACGGAGCAACGCCGCGUGAGUGAUGAAGGCUUUCGGGUCGUAAAACUCUGUUGUUAGGGAAGAACAAGUGCUAGUUGAAUAAGCUGGCACCUUGACGGUACCUAACCAGAAAGCCACGGCUAACUACGUGCCAGCAGCCGCGGUAAUACGUAGGUGGCAAGCGUUAUCCGGAAUUAUUGGGCGUAAAGCGCGCGCAGGUGGUUUCUUAAGUCUGAUGUGAAAGCCCACGGCUCAACCGUGGAGGGUCAUUGGAAACUGGGAGACUUGAGUGCAGAAGAGGAAAGUGGAAUUCCAUGUGUAGCGGUGAAAUGCGUAGAGA